UACAGCAGCACUAUCUUUCUACUGGCGCCAAAAAUGCAGGGGCCAACUUCAAACAACCAAAAAGUGGCAGCAGUACAUAAAGCUGUGGACCACCAGCAUUCUACCACCAACACUCCAGAAUCCCACAGCCACACCACGCCCCCCAUGGCCCUAGACCUCAACGUUCCACCAGAAGAAGCAGAGGAGGAAGAUGAUCCUUUAGGAGGUUUAGCUCAUGGCCAUGACCUCCUACCACGUGCUGGAGCCCACCCCUUGGGAGAUGGACAUGGAGCACCUUCUUUUGACCUCAACAUGGCAGCAUACGAAUCAGAUGUGCUAGAUGGGUUCAAUGCACCUGCAGCAGCAACUAACUUUGAUUCAAACAUUGAUUUGGAGGAAGAGGAGGCAGGUAGAGUACAUGCAAGAAAGUUGUAGUUUCCAACUAAUUCAUGCCAUACAGUUUUGUGUCUUACAUUUCUUGUUGCUGCCACCGUUUAGAUGACGACGCCGAUGUGUAUGCCGUUGAUUUUCAUGUCAUCUUUGCCGAGGAGGAGCUCCAAGGGUCCACAGCCAAUGGCGAUCAAGCUGAUGUGUUCCAUGCCGCCGAUGAAACAACCUCCUUUGAUCUGAACCAUGCCUGGAAGGAAGAGGUGCUCGAUGGUGCCAGUGACAUGUAACAUGUUGGACAAGGCAGCCAAACUCAACAUGCAAACAUGGUGAUUAGAAGGAAGAAUUUGUCGGACAAAGAACGUCAGGAAAUUUAUGAAGCUUUACUUCUCCGUAGCGUGAAUGACAAAUUGAAAAAAAAGAACCACCACAAUAAUAGCCAAUUUGUUUAAUGUUAAUAGGUGCUAUGUGCAAUCUAUAUGGAGGACAGCAAAGGAGUGCCUUGCUGCAGGUGUACCAGUCGAUGUAUCAUGCAAAAGAAAAAAAAUUAUGGUCGCAAGAAGGUUACCAUUGAUUUGUCUAGAAUUGCAACAAUACCUUUGAAUAAAAGGACCACUCUUAGGGCUCUAGCUCAUGAACUAGGUGUGGAAAGGUCCAUGCUGCACCGCUGCUUCAAACAAGGCAAGAUCCAUCAACACUCUAACACUCUCAAGCCAUAUUUGAGGGAUGACAACAAGAAGGCACUACUGCAGUAUUGUCUAUCUAUGCUAGAUGCUAGUAGAUUGCAGUUUAUUGAUAUGAAAAAUAUUAUUCACUCAGAUGAGAAAUGGUUCAACACCACAAAAAAGCAAGAAAGUUCUACAUGCUCCCCGAGGAAGAGGAUCCUUUGAGAACAAUUCAUAACAAGAAUUCUAUUCCUAAAUGUAUGCUAUUUUGUGUUGUAACUGAGCCACAAUAUGAUGCUGAAAGGAAAUGCUACUUUGAUGGCAAACUAGGCAUAUGGCCCUUUGUGAGACA